CUGUGAGAUCAUGACCUAAGCUGAAGCCAGACACUUAACCGACUGAGCCACCCAGGUGCCCCUGAAGGUUAACACUUUUAAAAACUAUAGGUAGGGUUAACACUCCUGGAAAGGCAUUUUAGAGGGGGAAAAGAAGAUAAAAAAAAUAGAUCCCCCCGCCCCCACAAAGAAAGACCACCAACAAAAAACUUGAUCUUGAAUCUAAGUCAAUGGAAAAACCUCUCUUCUGAGACAUUGUAGUGUGUUUCACUAAAAUGAGAUUCUGUUAACCUACUAGUUCUUGGGCAACUAUUCGUGUGUGUGUGUGUGUGUGUGUGUGUGUGUGCACUAAAAAUUUUUCUGAGAUGUUAGUUUGAGGGACUUUUCGAAUUUAAAAGAAUUUAAUACUUUUACCGUUUUGUUAGGUGAAGAGUUGGAAAUAUUUUUAUCUCAUUAAACAGCUUCAAUUCCAAACACCCAGACAGAGCACCUGCCACAUAAGCCUGUUUCCUACUCUUGUCCUCUAAGGUUAAGACUGGCAGCUGUGGGAGUUCUUGAAAGUGUGUGCCUUGUAGAUUUUAGCUCAUUUUGAAAAACUGGCUCAUUGCCAUUCUGCACUCCAGCUUGUGAUAUUUAAAUAGGAGAUUGAACUGAGCCAGAUAUAAAAGGGAGAGAGAGGGAGAGAGAGAAAGAGUGUGUGUGUAAGGUGACAGUGGGGAGAGGCCCCAGAAAGAAAACUAACAAAGAUAUAUGAGUUGGAAGCCAUACUCUGAGCCAAGGGCUGCACUUGUUGAGUGGAAAUUGGGGGUCCACCUACAACAUGAAUGUUUCAAAACUAAGAUCAGGACAGAAGCGUCAUCAAUACCCAAGGACAUCCUGAGGGAUAUGUAAGUUUUUUUUUUUUUAAGUUGAUUUAUUUUGAGAGAGAGAAAGAGAGAGAAUCCCAAGCAGGCUCUGCAUUGUCAGCACAGAGCCCCACGCAGGGCUUGAACUCACUCACAAACUGUGAGAUCAGGAGCUGGGCUGAAGUAGAAUGCUUAACCGACUGAGCCACCCAGGUGCCCCUGAAGCGAAAAGCACUGUGCUUCAUGGCGUGGGAAGACUCGGCUUUGUGAAGUGAAAGAAAGCGUUAUAAUUUUAGAAACAUUCUUUGAGAAAAUAAUACAAUUUUAGGAUAGGAUACUGCAACAAAGAGACACAACAGUGCUUAAGAAACAUUUAAAUAUAUCCACUAAACCCUACAACAUGUAUCCCCAAGCCAACUUUCCUUCAGCUAGAUCCCAUAAUGUCUAAGGCCACUUCAAAGCUCUCUGACAGGAGGGAGAUUGUGAUGGAAGGAAAGUCAGAGAGCAAAGACAGAGGUCUUAACUGAUCGUGGUUAAAAUACCAUAAAUUUGCAAAUGUAACAAAAACAUGUGCCUUUGUGAACACGUUAUUAGGGCUCCUUCUCAGGCCUUGCCAAGUUAGGGGCCUUGAAACUCAAGCUUCAUUAACUUUGAGAGAAAUCCUCCUCUGACCAGCCCCACCCCUCCUAGCAUUUUUCUGCAGAUUAAAUCCGACUAAACUUAAAGGCAGCCAGUGGGAUGAGUAGAAGGCAGAAAUUAUAGAAAGAUCACAGUGGGGACUCAUAUUCCUCUUGCAAAUAUCAAGCCCUCAGACUGGGAGAUGAUGAAGGACACGUUAGGUCUUCGGGAAGAUACAUAAAGGAGUCUUUGGGCUGACAGGCCUCCAGAGAGGUUGAUGUCAUCACAGCCACAAAGAAGAAUGAUUUCCUACAGCAAUAGUGGAUCUGUGACGGCAUCGGGAUUACAAAAGCUGUUUUGGAGGCCACAGGUCCCAAAUCAAGGUGUCAGGAAAUCACACCUGAACUAUGCAAACUGGGCGGGGCAGCUGCCGCCAAGAAGAGGGAUACUGUCAUCAGAAGGAGGCGGACCCACGCGGCUGAGCAGGCUCAUGGUGCAGAGGAAGGUGGGGAGUUCCAUCUGGACGUGCCGAGUUGUGACACAGCAGGUGAGACACCUGAGAGUGAUGUCCCCUGUCCGUUAAAUGUGGCAGUAGGUGUAUCAUUUUUAAUUUUAGCAAGAAUACUUUCAGUGGAGCGUGGAGCAAGGGGACUGCUGAAGGGAGCUGACGAAUGGAUGGGAACUGAGCAAAGUCGAAGCGGGGCUGGUCAGAAGCCAGAGAACUAGGGUCUCACCAUGACGACAGUGUUGCUGAGGCAGCCUUUCAGGAGGCCUAAAGCAGUAGUUCUCAAAGGCUGUAACCCAGAUCAGCAGCAUCAGGCAGCUGGGAAUUUACUAGAAAAGCAAAUUUUGAGGACCCAUCCAAGACCUACUGAGUCAAAACCUCUAGGGUGGAGCCCUAAAAUCUGUGUUUAACAAGCCCGCAGGUGACCCUGAUGUGGGCAUUCCGGCCUCCGGAGCCUGGAGGAACCAACUUUGACAGAACUACUGGUGCCGUGUGCUCAGGGAGGCGCAUGUGUGUGGUAGUAACAUGUUUACUCCAGCUGGGCUUGCUUGGAAGCAGGGAGCCUGGUUUGGGGUGGGGGUACAUGGGGGUGCGGGGUCUAAGGGCAUGAAUUUUUGGAAAGCAAGGCAGUGAGGAAAAGGACGGGUUCCUUCCCAGGGCAAGGUCCCUGCAGCUGGAGUGUGAAAUACACCUGUUCUGAUCUUUCGAGCAGAUCAGCAGCUUGACAUCCUCCCACUCCAGAGCCAGCAGCUUUCUUGAAGGAUGGGGCUAGUGUUCGGCUGAAGCUGUCACAGAGUGGCAUUUCUCACAAUAUUUGAAGAGCCCCUGGGAAAUGUUAACCAGAAACUCGGUUGGCUCUUUGACUUCAGUCUUUAUGGUUGAAAACCUUUCUAAAAUGGAUCUGUCUUUUUGCCACUUUAGAGACUAGAAUAACAUCUAAAGUAGCAGAGUUGUGAAAGAUUUAUUAUCUUUUACAAUGCAGAGUGGGUUUAAGAUGAGCGCUCUGAUAUUGUCACUCUCACCCUCUUGCAUUUCUGAUUUGUUUCUGAGAGAUUGGGGUGGAUGGAGUUCCUGGUGACUGCUGGGAUUUGCAUGUGCCCCCCACCCGACAGUGCCUAUGACACACUCUGCUAUAUGUGUCUGCCUCUGAUGUCCCCUGAACAGCUGUGCAUGAAAGUCAUCUGUCCAGUGGGCAGAUAACAGGAAGUAUGGCACAGUGUGAAUGCCACGAGGGCAGGGCUGGUUAGUUCAUGGUUUGACCUUUAAAUCCUGGAAUUAUAACAGUACCCAAUAAGCAUGUUGAAUGCAUGAAAGAACAUGGUUAUUGUAAUUGGAUUGGGGAUCAUUUUGGAAUCUAUAGGUCUUAAGGUUGCCAUUCUGAGCAUUAGUCCUCACUAUCUGGGACCAUAAAUAUAACAUGUAUAGACAGGACUGGCUACAUAAUUUGUGGGGACCAGUGCAAAAUGAAAAUUUAGAGCCCCUUAUUCAAAAAUUAUUAAGAACCUCAAGACAGGGACAGCAGAACAUUAAAGCAAAUACGGGGUCUUUCUGAAUGUGGGCCCCCAUGCUCCUGCCUGAGUCCCAUGAAGUCAGACCUAAAGGUAGGAGAUGGAAUGAAAUUUUACUAAUCCUGGUAACUUCUGGAAAUAGCUUUCAGAAAAUUUUUGCAGAAAUCCUUGAAAUGACCUUUUUAUGUGGUUUUCUCUUUUUUUUUUUCAUGAAAGAAGAGGGCAAUUUAAAGAUGGAGGGUGUCUGGGGGUGCCUGGGUGGCUCAGUCGGUUAAUUGUCUGACUUCAGCUCAGGUCAUGAUCUCGUGGUUUGUGGGUUCGAGCCCCACAUUGGGCUCUGUGCUGACAGCUCA